rnacentral:rRNA from 1 species
GGAGAAGGCUAUGUUGGCCGGGCGACGGUUGUCCCGGUUUAAGCGUGUAGGUGUGUGUUCCAGGUAAAUCCGGUUCACUUUAACACUGAGGCGUGACGACGAGGCACUACGGUGCUGAAGCAACAAAAGCCCUGCUUCCAGGAAAAGCCUCUAAGCAUCAGGUAACAUCAAAUCGUACCCCAAACCGACACAGGUGGUCAGGUAGAGAAUACCAAGGCGCUUGAGAGAACUCGGGUGAAGGAACUAGGCAAAAUG